rnacentral:lncRNA from 1 species
CAAAAUAAAGUAAAAUAACUUUUUUUGGUUUUUCAAAUACAAAACAAGAAGUACUAUAAUAAAAGACUCGACAAUCUUAACUAGACUGACAUACUUGAUACUACUAUACAAGACUAAAAAUUAAAAGACAACAUAAAAUAGACUAAGAAAAAUAAAAAGUUUCCUCAAGCAGCUCGUGUAUGCAAUGAUCUUAACUAGAAUGGUCUUGUGGUAUUUUUCAUGUUCAAUUCUAGCAAAUUGAUCCAUACCUGAACGGGAAAAAUAAGAUCAAAUAGAGUUAGUGACUCAAGACACAUGUGAGAUCAUAAUACUUCCAAUUAGGUCAUGCAAGACAUGAUUGGGCUAUUUUUACUAAAAUGGCUUAUGUGGCCAAGAGUGACUAUUAGUGCAUACUCAACAAAGGUGACCUCAAAGGCAUGAAAAUAUCUUACUAAGGCUUAUAUGACUUCAAACUUCAAACAAUCAUGGCCCUAGAAAAUACUUUGCAAAAGUGACCUAUUUUGCAAAAAUGGCGGAUGUGGCCAAACGUAGCUAGAAAUGCAAAUUCAACAAGGAGGGGACUUAAUGGAAUGGGACCCCUACCUAUGUACUCAAGAUUCUAAGACAUGGGUCAUUGAACCACUUUUACGAAAAUAGCCCCAGUUUGCAAGAAUGGCCGAUGUGGCCAAAAAUGUCCAGACAUGCAAAUUCAACAAGAAUGGACCUUACUGAGAAGAUACCUUGUUGUGUACUUAGGGCUCUAAGAUAUUAUAUAACAAACCACUUUUAUAAAAUAGCCCUAUUUUGCAAAAACAACCGAUGUGGCCAGACAUGCAAGAUUUGGCUAAGACCCUGCGAAGCCAAGAACCUAAAAGAAGACCGGACCCUAUGUGGGUUGCCUACGUAUCUCACCCCGAAAGAUGAGAAUCGGGUAUUUGUAGUUCGGGAAGAUUGGACAUGGGAGAAAUCUUUUUUAAAAAACAAAAGCAUCAAAUUUGGAAAAACUAUAUUUUUCAUCUUGUUGAAAAACGAUGGGAAAAUGUAAAAUCUUUUUGGAUUUUAUUUUUUCUCCUUUUUUCUUUUUUUGAUUUUUGUUUUUUUUUGGAAAAUGAUGGGAAAGUACGUAAUCUUUUGGAUUUUUCAUUUUUAUUUUUUUGGUCUUUUUCUUGAAAACGUUGUGAAAGAAAAACAUAACUGGGCUCUACUUGCUUCAUUUUGUACUUUACCCUCUUUUCUCCCAAUUGGUCCGUCAAAUGUCCUAUUUACCCUCAAAGAUGUAACAUUUAGCACAUAAGAUGGUUAAAUGUCACUUUGGGCCAGCGAGCCCUUUCGACACAAUUUGGACAAGUUUCCUACAAAGGACACGGCACCUUGGACUAGUCCCUGCUAGGUCAUAAUGAUAUGAUGCAAAACAAAUGACCUAAAGGCUGACCUACAUUUGGGGUUCACUAAAAAGGAAAUUCAGGGGAGUGUAUGGUCGAUAGUGGCUACUUAAGCUUUCCACCCACUCCAUACGUCCAACGGCCCCCCCUCAUAAAAUAAGGGUGACUCAACAAAGAGAUCGUGUAUGCGACGCAUACUCCGAGACUUAUUGUAGAAAGAAUUGGCUGGUAAUGCAUAUGAGGACAGUUAUAAAUUGGUAAACACAUAAGGACAAACGAUAAACAAAUAACCAACAAAACAGGAAAUAAGACAAACAAACUAAUUAAACAAAGCAAAUAAAGAAAACAAACACUUCAACCAAAUAUCCUAAAAGCUAACAAGAUCAAGUACCAGCUCGAACCUGUAAGUUCCUCAGCAGAGUCGCCAAAUUUGUCACACCCCUUUUUACAAACCUCACUAAACCCUCUUAAAAUAAUAAAAGUGAUUUUGAAGCUUGAAAGGGUUUUCAAUUAGAAACAUGAAAAAGAAUUGUGUUCAAAAGGAUUUUUCAGAGUCGCCACCUGACAUUAGUUUCGGGGUGCCAAGUCACCAUUUUUUUAAAAUGAUUUUUUCUUUUAAAAUACUUGGGACUCCAAAACUAAGUCUGCACCAGAGAUUCGGGUAAGGGGGUUCAUUUGACUCGGGGAGAAGGUUUUACGCACUUCCCAAGUUCCGUGAAGUUCACGGUUGCGUACUCAAUCUAGUUGGCUUUUAAAACAUUAAAGCCAUUAAAUCCUUACGAAUCCCAAUUGCUUUUCUUAAUUCUCUGAAAUACCAUUCAUAUGAUUCGUUAUUCUCUGAAUCAGCUACCCCAAAUGCUAUAGGGAAAAUCUGGUUAUUUGCAUCUUUUGUAACAGUCACUAACAGAACACCUCUAUAUUUAUUUUUUAGAAAUGUUCCAUCAACUGCAAUAAGUGGUCUACAAUACUUCCACCCAGAAAUUGAUGCCCCAUACAUGAAAAACAUGUAGACAAACCUAUUCAAUUGAAAAGUAAAUAACUUUCAGUUAUACCAUAUGACAAGUUGAAUACUAAUAACAUACUACACAAAAAACUUAAAGACGACAGACUUCCAUUAAAAUAUACGAAAUCAAACACAACUCAAAUAUUAUAUAAUUGAUUAAAUAUCAUAAUAAAAAAGAAGAUGAGGUAAAAAUAAACACAAAAAAAAAAAAAACUAAACACAAGAGGCUAGAGGUCGUCCCCAACUAAUAAAGGAAAAUAAAAUGAAAUAAAAAUAAAAUAUUACAAAUCUAUAUGCUCCUCCUCAAUGCUUGUCAAGGCCUCCAAAAUACUUACAAAGUUCUUCGGGGCAUUCCCCGAAAUAAAAUAUUUACAAAUCCUUCGGGCCAUUCCCCGGACAAAUUUAACUAAAGGGGCGACCUUCGCACCUCAUAUAAAAGAAAAGAAAAGGAAAAUCCUAAUAUUCUCCUACCUGAGUGUUGACGGUCUAGCAUGCUCCUAGCAUUAACGAAACUAAUAGUAAUGAAAUAGAAUUAGAACAUGUCAUCUACUAUCCAGUUCUCUUAAAGUUAAUUCUCUUAAUUCUGUUCAAACUCACGUGACCCAAUCCCACUUAUUCUCAAUUACUUCAAUGACCCAUUAGUUUUUCCAUUCAAAUUAGGCGCCACCACACAUCCAACCAGACAAGAGUCCAUAAAUUGUUACAAUUAAAGUUUCAACCAAAAUUUAACGUGGAAAAUUAAAACUAGUCAUAGGCAAAUCAGAAAAGAGAAGAACAGAAGAUAGAAUGGACCUUCAAAGCUUUGAAUUUCAAAACAUCGUCAACUGAACGGGACCUUGACCGAAAGCUCGAACCGGAACUUGUUUGGUGCAAUGAAGCAUGGUUGUGACGGCUUCAGAUCUAUUAUCAACUCUGCUUUGAGUUCAAACCUCUCAAAAAGCAGUGGACAAGGGAAUUAAGGGAGAUCGAAGUGAGCUUAAAGGACAAAAUUUGUUGUUAGAGCCAAAAGCGUUGCUGCUGGAAUUUCAUAGGAUUUAUAGGCAACUGAUAGAUUUUCACAAAAAAAACUGCUCCUUUUCUUUUGUCCGUUCUCUGCUUCUGAAAUUCUUGUCUGGUUUUGAGCCAAAGCUAAAGCCAAAAUCAAAUUCACUUUUCCCCUAAAUUUAUGUUCGUGACCCUCUCCCCUGUUUCGUGUGUGUGUCUGUGUAUGUAUUUUCUGAUCUGAGAAGAAGGGAGGUGAAGCGGCUGGUCUCUAACGAGUUUCGGUGGCGGCGGGCGUGGUGAACAGAGGUAGGUGAGACUGACUUGUUAGGUAUCUAAGGGUUGGUGAAGGAAGGGGUGAACUCGCCAGCUUUAAUGAGUUUUUCUAACAAGUUGUAUCUGGUUUGAGGCGACGGCGUUGUAGUGUGGGGCUGGAGAUGAGAGAUAAGAUGAGGAAUUGAAGAAGGAAGGUAGAAAACGGCUGGUUGUGAAGGUCUGGGGUCCGGCCGAUUGGGGGGUCUGUUGUGUCGUUCAGGUCUAACGUGUCUAGCUGAAUAAGAAGCUGCUUAGGUCCUGUAGGGGUGAAGAAGAAGAAGAAGAAGAAGUUCUUUUCUAAGGUUUGAGUUCUUGUCCUUUUGUUGAAGAAGAAGGCAAUGGCUGAGACAUAGGAGAUGGGCGCUGAUGGGUUUUUUUUAGGGUUCUUGAAGGGUAUGGGAGGU